rnacentral:rRNA from 1 species
CAUGCAAGUCGAGCGAACAGAUGAGGAGCUUGCUCCUCUGACGUUAGCGGCGGACGGGUGAGUAACACGUGGGUAACCUACCUAUAAGACUGGAAUAACUCCGGGAAACCGGGGCUAAUGCCGGAUAAUAUGCGGAACCGCAUGGUUCUGCAAUGAAAGACGGUCUUGCUGUCACUUAUAGAUGGACCCGCGCCGUAUUAGCUAGUUGGUAAGGUAACGGCUUACCAAGGCAACGAUACGUAGCCGACCUGAGAGGGUGAUCGGCCACACUGGAACUGAGACACGGUCCAGACUCCUACGGGAGGCAGCAGUAGGGAAUCUUCCGCAAUGGGCGAAAGCCUGACGGAGCAACGCCGCGUGAGUGAUGAAGGUCUUCGGAUCGUAAAACUCUGUUAUUAGGGAAGAACAAGUGCGUAGGUAACUAUGCGCACCUUGACGGUACCUAAUCAGAAAGCCACGGCUAA